rnacentral:rRNA from 1 species
CAAAUUUCUCGCCCUAUCAACUUUCGAUGGUAGAGUAGUGGUCUACCAUGGUUUCAACGGGUAACGGGGAAUUAGGGUUCUAUUCCGGAGAGGGAGCCUGAGAAACGGCUACCACAUCCAAGGAAGGCAGCAGGCGCGCAAAUUACCCAAUCCCGACACGGGGAGGUAGUGACAAUAAAUACUGAUACAGGGCUCUUUUGGGUCUUGUAAUUGGAAUGAGUACAAUUUAAAUCCCUUAACGAGGAACAAUUGGAGGGCAAGUCUGGUGCCAGCAGCCGCGGUAAUUCCAGCUCCAAUAGCGUAUAUUAAAGUUGUUGCAGUUAAAAAGCUCGUAGUUGAACCUUGGGCCUGGCUGGCCGGUCCGCCUCACCGCGUGCACUGGUCCGGCCGGGCCUUUCCUUCUGGGGAGCCGCAUGCCCUUCACUGGGUGUGUCGGGGAACCAGGACUUUUACUUUGAAAAACUUAGAGUGUUCAAAGCAGGCCUAUGCUCGAAAUACAUUAGCAUGGAAUAAUAGAAUAGGACGUGUGGUUC